rnacentral:tRNA from 1 species
AGUCCUUACAGUCUUUGAAGACUGGGAGUUUGUACCUCCUAAGAGGCUCAAGCCUGAGGACUA